AGCAGCCGCGGUAAUUCCAGCUCCAAUAGCGUAUAUUAAAGUUGUUGCAGUUAAAAAGCUCGUAGUUGAAUUUCGGGAUUAGUACGUUGGUCGUGCCUUCGGUAUGUACUGAUGUUACUGAUUCCUCCUUCUGAAGAACCGUUAUGUCAUUCAUUUGGUGUGGCGGGGAAUCAGGACUGUUACUUUGAAAAAAUUAGAGUGUUUAAAGCAGGCUUCGCGACUUGAAUACAUUAGCAUGGAAUAAUGAAAUAGGACGUUUAUGAUCCUAUUUUGUUGGUUUCUAGGAUCGACGUAAUGAUUAAUAGGGAUAGUUGGGGGCAUUAGUAUUCAAUUGUCAGAGGUGAAAUUCUUGGAUUUAUUGAAGACUAACUACUGCGAAAGCAUUUGCCAAGGAUGUUUUCAUUAAUCAAGACGAAAGUUAGGGGAUCGAAGACGAUCAGAUACCGUCGUAGUCUUAACCAUAAACUAUGCCGACUAGGGAUCGGAUGAUGUUAUUUUUUAAUGACUCAUUCGGCGUCCG
rnacentral:rRNA from 1 species